GAAACAGGUGCUAAUACCGUAUAACACUAUUUUCCGCAUGGAAGAAAGUUGAAAGGCGCUUUUGCGUCACUGAUGGAUGGACCCGCGGUGCAUUAGCUAGUUGGUGAGGUAACGGCUCACCAAGGCCACGAUGCAUAGCCGACCUGAGAGGGUGAUCGGCCACACUGGGACUGAGACACGGCCCAGACUCCUACGGGAGGCAGCAGUAGGGAAUCUUCGGCAAUGGACGAAAGUCUGACCGAGCAACGCCGCGUGAGUGAAGAAGGUUUUCGGAUCGUAAAACUCUGUUGUUAGAGAAGAACAAGGAUGAGAGUAAAAUGUUCAUCCCUUGACGGUAUCUAACCAGAAAGCCACGGCUAACUACGUGCCAGCAGCCGCGGUAAUACGUAGGUGGCAAGCGUUGUCCGGAUUUACUGGGCGUAAAGCGAGCGCAGGCGGUUUCUUAAGUCUGAUGUGAAAGCCCCCGGCUCAACCGGGGAGGGUCAUUGGAAACUGGGAGACUUGAGUGCAGAAGAGGAGAGUGGAAUUCCAUGUGUAGCGGUGAAAUGCGUAGAUAUAUGGAGGAACACCAGUGGCGAAGGCGGCUCUCUGGUCUGUAACUGACGCUGAGGCUCGAAAGCGUGGGGAGCGAACAGGAUUAGAUACCCUGGUAGUCC
rnacentral:rRNA from 1 species